AAGCACACGGAGGUUUAGAGAGGUUUAGACCACCAGAGUGUAGCACUAGGGCUGAAAACGGUCGGAAACAAUCGGAUUUGUCUCCUUAGCACUAGAAUUCGUUCAGAUGGAAAGGGUGUUUAAUUUGUAAACACAAAUCUAUCUACAAUUCUAAGCUGUAGCCUUAGCCGCUGCUACGCGGUGCCUAUCAUUGUUAUGAGAAAUAUAAUUUCCACCUCUCCACCCAACAACAGAGUUUCUCCACGUCAAGCCUGGAAAAGGUGCUGCUUUUGUCAGGACAAAAAUGCGCAAUUAUGUCACUGGCAAUACAGUUGAGAAAACCUUUCGAGCUGGAAGUACGGAGGAACAAAGCCUGCAACCCUGGAAACUGGAGCUGUUGUCACGGUGCCCUCUUUUGUGAACGUAGGCGAUGAUAUCCUAGUUGAUUCAAGAACCGGAAAGUAUAUGAACAGAGCAUAGAGGGUUAAAGAGGAUUUUGGAUUUGAAGAGAGUACUAGUUUUUUGUUCGGCCAUUUGUCCCAUUCACAUGUACGAAUGCUCUGCAUCUUUUGUCCCUGGGAAAUUUACAUUUCGGGUGCAUGUGGAUCCUGCUGCAAAACAUUAUGUUCAAACCUUUCA